rnacentral:rRNA from 1 species
UACGAAGGGUGCAAACGUUGCUCGGAAUCAUUGGGCGUAAAGCGCACGUAGGCGGCUUCACAAGUCGGCUGUGAAAUCCCACGGCUCAACCGUGGACGUGCAUCCGAAACUGGGAGGCUUGAGUACUGAAGAGGAUCGCGGAAUUCCCGGUGUAGAGGUGAAAUUCGUAGAUAUCGGGAGGAACACCAGUGGCGAAGGCGGCGAUCUGGGCAGAUACUGACGCUGAGGUGCGAAAGCGUGGGGAGCAAACAGG